AAAAAAAAGAGUUUGAUCGUGGCUCAGAAUCAACGCUGGCGGCGUGCCUCAGACAUGCGAAGUCGAACGAUUAAAGCUCCCUUCGGGGAGUGCAUAAAGUGGCGCACGGGUGAGUAACACGUAAGUAAUCUACCUUCGAGUGGGGAAUAACAGUCGGAAACGGCUGCUAAUACCGCAUAAUGCAGCGGCAUCGCAAAGAUGACAGUUGUUAAAGAUUUAUCGCUUGAAGAGGAGCUUGCGGCAGAUUAGCUAGUUGGUAAGGUAAUGGCUUACCAAGGCUACGAUCUGUAACCGGUCUAAGAGGACGGUCGGUCACACUGACACUGAAUAACGGGUCGAGACUCCUACGGGAGGGCAGCAGUCGGGAAUUUUGGGCAAUGGGGGAAACCCUGACCCAGCAACGCCGCGUGAAGGAUGAAGUAUUUCGGUAUGUAAACUUCGAAAGAAUAGGAAGAAUUAAUGACGGUACUAUUUAUAAGGUCCGGCUAA
rnacentral:rRNA from 1 species